UCCCUGAGGUGCGGCCCCUCACAUUCACACCAACACACUGCAAAAAAACUUGGAACGCGAAAAUGCAGCUACACGUCUGCGCCGCAAUUAUGGCAAUCAUCUUGGUUCUAGGGUGUCAGGCAGAAAGGGAGAGUGAGAAAAAGUCGCAAGGCCCGGGCCAGCUGGCUGAACGCCUACAGAUGCCGGCGGCCGGCCAGAAGAUCGUCGACAAGAUUAAGGAAAAAGUAGGAAACCUUCAAGGAGGAGGCGGGCCAAUGGGUGCCAUCAAAGGAGUGUUAAAAAAGCUCAAGCCGGGAGGAAACAGGGAUUAAACGGCUCCAGGAAUGUCGUCUUGCGUGUGACCAUUUGGAACGAAAAAAUAAAAGGGGAAAAGGCUAAUUGUU